AAGACUUUAAGUUAAAUAAACUAAUAGCCUUCAAAGCUGCAAAAAAAACAUAAGUUUUAAGCCUUA
rnacentral:tRNA from 1 species